rnacentral:rRNA from 1 species
AUUGAACGCUGGCGGCAGGCCUAACACAUGCAAGUCGAACGAGUGGCGGACGGGUGAGUAAUGUCUGGGAAACUGCCUGAUGGAGGGGGAUAACUACUGGAAAAGGUAGCGAAUACCGCAUACCAUCGGAUGUGCACAGAUGGGAUGAGCUAGUAGGUGGGGUAAAGGCUACCCUAGGCGACGAUCCCUAGCUGGUCUGAGAGGAUGACCAGCCCCACUGGAACUGAGACACGGUCCAGACUCCUACGUGAGGCAGCAGUGUGGAAUAUUGCACAAUGGGCGCAAGCCUGAUGCAGCCAUGCCGCGUGUAUGAAGAAGGCCUUCGGGUUGUAAAGUACUUUCAGCGGGGAGGCGUUACCCGCAGAAGAAGCACCGGCUAACUCCGUGCCAGCCGCCGCGGUAAUAC